rnacentral:rRNA from 1 species
UACAGAGGGUGCGAGCGUUAAUCGGAGUUACUGGGCGUAAAGGGCGCGUAGGCGGUGAUAUGUGAGUGAUGUGAAAGCCCCGGGCUUAACCUGGGAAGUGCAUCGCAGACUAUAUAACUGGAGUAUAAGAGAGGGUGGCGGAAUUUCCGGUGUAGCGGUGAAAUGCGUAGAGAUCGGAAGGAACGUCAAUGGCGAAGGCAGCCACCUGGCUUAAUACUGACACUGAGGCGCGAGAGCGUGGGGAGCAAACAGG